rnacentral:rRNA from 1 species
AUGAUGCCAGACAGCAACCUCCUCCUGCUCGAGUCCAGCACCGCGCAUCGGGCGCCGAGUCUCCACUGCACCACGCCGCCGAGAUCCGCCGUCAUCAAUGUGCAGGAUGAAGCACCGCUCCACCAAAAAACCGCCCACUGGUCCCUCAAACCCGUGUACGCCUCCAAGAAUGACGCCCCCAAGGAGGAAACGACACCAACGCACCGCCGUGUUAGAGGGCUCAGUGGUAGCUCCGCUUGCCGAUGGUAUAUUCAUGAGGAUAUACCCGAUAUCAAUUCCUUCAGUGCUAGAUCCAAUUGUUCAACCGUGCUUCAGCUGGCUCAACUUGGUCCUUUUGACGAAAUGAACAAGUGGUUCCACUGUACUGCUGUUGUUGACAGAAUUAUGCCUGAUAAGCGUUGGUGGUUUGCUUCGUGUGGCGCAUGCCGCAAAUCCGCUAGGUUCCUCGGUGACCGGUGCCAAUGCUCAGACAUUAGCUGCACUUCUGGUGGUGCAGACCUAACAUACUGUGUUGGUGUCAUAGCGACCGAUGGCACGACGGAGGCUGAGUUUGUCCUCUUUGACAAAAUAAGCAUGAUAGAAGAGACUUAUAAUCCUGAGCUACCGUCAUCUGUUUUUGGUCUCGCUUCAGCCUCCGAUAAAUCAUCCUCAUCCAGUCAGGUUUUGGAGCUGGGUGCCCCUUAUGUGGGUAAUGCUGUGUCGACCGUAAUGAGCCCACCUUGUGGCCUGAGUCUCCAUGAUGGACAUACCUUACCUGCUAGCGGCCAGUCACCCACAAUUCAGCCUCACACGCUGACUUUCCACGGUACCGGCUUGCCCUUCACCUCCAGUGGCAGGCUCUGCCCAUACUACACAUUCUACAGUUUCAUGGAUGAAGCUGAACUCUAUUGGUGCUAA